UAGGUAGGAAGAAGAUUCUAAGGCCAACGGGAGAAGGGUUGUUAAGGAACUCGGCAAAUUGACCCCGUAACUUCGGGAGAAGGGGUGCUCCAGAGAUGGAGCCGCAGAGAAUCGGCCCAAGCAACUGUUUACCAAAAACACAGGUUUGUGCUAAAUCGAAAGAUGACGUAUACGAGCUGACGCCUGCCCGGUGCUGGAAGGUUAAGAGGAGAUGUGCAAGCAUUGAAUCGAAGCCCCAGUGAACGGCGGCCGUAACUAUAACGGUCCUAAGGUAGCGAAAUUCCUUGUCAGGUAAGUUCUGACCCGCAUGAAAGGCGUAAUGAUUUGGGCACUGUCUCGACAGCCCGCCCGGCGAAAUUGUAGUACCGGUGAAGAUGCCGGUUACCCGCGACAAGACGGAAAGACCCCAUGGAGCUUUACUGUAGCCUAAUAUUGGGUUUCGAUGUUGCAUGCACAGGAUAGAUGGGACACUGGGAAGUGAUCGCUUUGGCGGUCAUGGAGUGGCCGUUGGGAUACCAUCCUUGCGAUAUUGGAAUUCUAACCUGCGCCUUUGAAUCAAGGCGGGGGACAUUGUUAGGUGGGCAGUUUGACUGGGGCGGUCGCCUCCUAAAGAGUAACGGAGGCGUUCAAAGGUUCGCUCAGCUUGAACGGAAAUCAAGCAAAAGAGUGCAAACGCAGAAGCGAGCCUAACUGCGAGACUGACGGGUCGAGCAGUAACGAAAGUUGGAGUUAGUGAUCCGGUGGUAUGUGAGUGGAAAUGCCAUCGCUCAACGGAUAAAAGUUACCCUGGGGAUAACAGGCUGAUCUCCCCCAAGAGUCCACAUCGACGGGGAGGUUUGGCACCUCGAUGUCGGCUCAUCGCAUCCUGGGGCUGUAUUCGGUCCCAAGGGUUUGGCUGUUCGCCAAUUAAAGCGGUACGCGAGCUGGGUUCAGAACGUCGUGAGACAGUUCGGUCCCUAUCUGUCGUGGGCGCAGGAUAUUUGAUGGGAGCUGUUCCUAGUACGAGAGGACCGGAGCGGACGUACCUCUGGCGCACCAGUUGUUCUGCCAAGAGCAUAGCUGGGCAACUAUGUACGGAUCGGAUAAACGCUGAAAGCAUCUAAGCGUGAAGCCGACCCAAAGAUAAGAUAUCCCA
rnacentral:rRNA from 1 species